GCGGGCGUAGUUCAGUGGUAGAAUGUCUCGUUGCCAACGAGAAGGUCGUGGGUUCGAACCCCAUCGCCCGCUCCA
rnacentral:tRNA from 1 species